rnacentral:rRNA from 1 species
UCCUACGGGGGGCAGCAGUGAGGAAUAUUGGUCAAUGGCCGAGAGGCUGAACCAGCCAAGUCGCGUGAGGGAGGACGGCCCUACGGGUUGUAAACCUCUUUUGUCAGGGAGCAAGGGACAGGUCGUGACCUGUUGUGAGAGUACCUGAAGAAAAAGCAUCGGCUAACUCCGUGCCAGCAGCCGCGGUAAUACGGAGGGUGCGAGCGUUAAUCGGAAUUACUGGGCGUAAAGCGCACGUAGGCUGUUGUGUAAGUCAGGGGUGAAAUCCCACGGCUCAACCGUGGAACUGCCCUUGAUACUGCAUG